rnacentral:rRNA from 1 species
UUCUGCUCAGGAUGAACGCUGGCGGCGUGCUUAAUACAUGCAAGUCGAACGAGUUCUGAUUAUUGAAAGGUGCUUGCAUCUUGAUUUAAUUUUGAACGAGUGGCGGACGGGUGAGUAACACGUGGGUAACCUGCCCUUAAGUGGGGGAUAACAUUUGGAAACAGAUGCUAAUACCGCAUAAAUCCAAGAACCGCAUGGUUCUUGGCUGAAAGAUGGCGUAAGCUAUCGCUUUUGGAUGGACCCGCGGCGUAUUAGCUAGUUGGUGAGGUAACGGCUCACCAAGGCAAUGAUACGUAGCCGAACUGAGAGGUUGAUCGGCCACAUUGGGACUGAGACACGGCCCAAACUCCUACGGGAGGCAGCAGUAGGGAAUCUUCCACAAUGGACGCAAGUCUGAUGGAGCAACGCCGCGUGAGUGAAGAAGGCUUUCGGGUCGUAAAACUCUGUUGUUGGAGAAGAAUGGUCGGCAGAGUAACUGUUGUCGGCGUGACGGUAUCCAACCAGAAAGCCACGGCUAACUACGUGCCAGCAGCCGCGGUAAUACGUAGGUGGCAAGCGUUAUCCGGAUUUAUUGGGCGUAAAGCGAGCGCAGGCGGUUUUUUAAGUCUGAUGUGAAAGCCCUCGGCUUAACCGAGGAAGUGCAUCGGAAACUGGGAAACUUGAGUGCAGAAGAGGACAGUGGAACUCCAUGUGUAGCGGUGAAAUGCGUAGAUAUAUGGAAGAACACCAGUGGCGAAGGCGGCUGUCUGGUCUGUAACUGACGCUGAGGCUCGAAAGCAUGGGUAGCGAACAGGAUUAGAUACCCUGGUAGUCCAUGCCGUAAACGAUGAAUGCUAGGUGUUGGAGGGUUUCCGCCCUUCAGUGCCGCAGCUAACGCAUUAAGC